GAUGAACGCUGACAGAAUGCUUAACACAUGCAAGUCAACUGUGGCGGACGGGUGAGUAACGCGUCAAGAACUUGCCUCACAGUUAGGGACAACAUUUGGAAACGAAUGCUAAUACCUGAUACUGUGAGAGAGCUUUGCUUCCCAUUAGCUAGUUGGAGCGGUAACGGCUCACCAAGGCGAUGAUGGGUAGCCGGACUGAGAGGGUGAUCGGCCACAAGGGGAUGGAGACACGGCCCUUACUCCUACGGGAGGCAGCAGUGGGGAAGAUUGGACAAUGGACCAAAGUCUGAUCAAGCAAUUCUGUGUGAAAGAUGAAGUUUUCGGAAUGUAAAGUGAUUUCAGUUGGGAAGCGGUACCAACAGAAGAAGUGACGGCUAAAUACGUGCCAGCAGCCGCGGUAAUAC
rnacentral:rRNA from 1 species